rnacentral:rRNA from 1 species
UGAGGAAUAUUGGUCAAUGGGCGGGAGCCUGAACCAGCCAAGUCGCGUGAGGGAAGACGGUCCUACGGAUUGUAAACCUCUUUUGCCGGGGAGCAACGGGGUCCUUGCGAGGGCCUUAUGAGAGUACCCGGAGAAAAAGCAUCGGCUAACUCCGUGCC